rnacentral:lncRNA from 1 species
AAUGCAAACCUUUUACAGUUCUGCUAUUAACUGUUUCUAACACUUAUGCCAUUGAUUAUGUUUCUACUUUUUCAGAAAAAUGGUUGCUUUAAUUUGUUUCUGAUUCACAGUCAGCUUUCAUAGCACAGCAAUUUGUUUUUCACCAUUUCUCCCUGUUUUUAAGGGAGAAUCUGUGUACAAUUCUAUACUCCCAUUGCUAUGUGCCUUGCUGUUAAUGCAUUCUUUCAGAAUGUCUUUAAAAAAACAUCAUAAAACAGAGCUACAGUUUUAAUUAUGUAAGGCUUUUGUUGUUGUUGAGGAGAGGAAGACCGCCUAACAAAGCCAAACAGGAUGCCCUUUGUUGGAAGGACAAACUGUGUCCUGAAACAACUACCAGGAUUGUGGAUCUCCUGCUGAGUGACAGCAGUCUCCAAGCUUUGGCACCCGAUUUCUGCUGGUCACAGCUCGUGUGGCAGCCUGGAAGCACUUCAACUGAGACAACACAACUGGUGCUCCUCCAGACCCAGAGAACAAAAAAAGCCCAGGCUUACACGUUGGCUGAGGUGGGAAGGGACCUGGAGGACACCUGCUCAACCCCUUGUUCAAGCAGGAUCACUACAUUGCCCAGGACCAUGUCAUGAUGGCUUUUGAGUAUCUGCAAGGAUGAAGACUCCACGACCUUCCUGGGCAACUUGUGCCAGGGUGUCGUCACUCUCACAGUGAAAAGGUUUUUCCUGAUGUUCAGAGGUGGCAUCCUGUGUUUCAGUUCGUGCCAUUGCCUCUGGUUCUGGCACUGGGCACCACUGAAAAGAGUCUUUCUCUGUCCUUGUUACAGCCUCCACCUUUACAUCACUUCAUGCCAAGAUAUUACAUUGUUGUAUUAGUCACCUUAACAAACUUCCAGGCCUGAUUAUUGGGGGUGUGUGAUGCAGAGAGCAGGAAGAAAUAUUUCAAUAGGCUUUUGAUGAGUUGAUAUAUAAAAAGGGAAAUGAAUUAUGUAAUUUCUACUAAUUUUUCACUGGAAUCCAUAGUUACUUGGGGUAUAAGAACAAGAACAAAGAACUUUGAUACCACAACUCUCUGUGCCAAUUAAUGUUUGUGGUUUAUAUCAGGCAGCCAUUUGAUGAAAUAAAUAAU